UUACACAUGCAGUCGAACGAAGGCUUCGGCCUUAGUGGCGCACGGGUGCGUAACGCGUGGGAAUCUGCCUUCAGGUACGGAAUAACUAGGGGAAACUCGAGCUAAUACCGUAUGAUAUCGAGAGAUCAAAGAUUUAUCGCCUGAAGAUGAGCCCGCGUUGGAUUAGCUAGUUGGUAAGGUAAGAGCUUACCAAGGCGACGAUCCAUAGCUGGUCUGAGAGGAUGAUCACCCACACUGGGACUGAGACACGGCCCACACUCCUACGGGAGGCAGCAGUGGGGAAUAUUGGACAAUGGGGGAAACCCUGAUCCACCAAUGCCGCGUGAGUGAAGAAGGCCUUAGGGUUGUAAAGCUCUUUUACCCGGGAUGAUAAUGACAGUACCGGGAGAAUAAGCUCCGGCUAACUCCGUGCCAGCAGCCGCGGUAAUACGGAGGGAGCUAGCGUUGUUCGGAAUUACUGGGCGUAAAGCGUACGUAGGCGGUUUAAUAAGUCAGGGGUGAAAGCCCAGAGCUCAACUCUGGAACUGCCUUUGAGACUGUUAGACUAGAACAUAGAA
rnacentral:rRNA from 1 species